CAGCAGCUUUGGAAAUAAGCAAUACGACCAAACCUCGCAUCUGUAAAUUAUUUCGACUAUCAUACACAAAACCCCGGGCGGUGUCGAGCAGCGGGUGCUUGGUGCCCACCAGCUUGCGGACCUGCAUGGCGAUGUUGCUGAGCUCGUCGCUCAGCAGGCACCGCAGGCUCAUGAAGGACGUCGGGUACCCCACGAUCUUCUCGGCUUCCGACACCACCUGGCUCCAGGGCGCGGCCGAAGGCGGGCCGCCCCCCGAGAGACCCCGCCGGCCUCCGCCGCGGCCCCAGCGCCGCAGCAGGGCCCCCCACAUCCCGCCCCGCGCCGCUGCUCGGCCCGGCUCGGCCCCGGGCGGCGGACCGGCGCGGCCUUAUUG
rnacentral:lncRNA from 1 species